rnacentral:rRNA from 1 species
UACGAAGGGGGCUAGCGUUGUUCGGAAUUACUGGGCGUAAAGGGCGCGUAGGCGGUGUGUCAAGUCAGGCGUGAAAGCCCCGGGCUCAACCUGGGAACCGCGCUUGAGACUGGCACGCUCGAGUUCGGGAGAGGAUGGUGGAAUUCCCAGUGUAGAGGUGAAAUUCGUAGAUAUUUGGGAAGAACACCGGAUGGCGAAGGCAGCCAUCUGGGACCGACACUGACGCUGAGGCGCGAAAGCGUGGGGAGCAAACAGG